rnacentral:piRNA from 1 species
UGAGGAGCAACACUUGUGUAACAAGCACAC